UGCCUAUAAAUCUGCCGGGUAGAGGGGGAUUACGUUCCGAAAGGAAACUAAUACCGCAAACUUCCUACGGGAGAAAGCAGGGGACCUUCGGGCCUUGCGCUAUCAAAGAUGAGCCUAGGUCGGAUUAGCUAGUUGGUGAGGUAAUGGCUCACCAAGGCGACGAUCCGUAACUGGUCUGAGAGGAUGAUCAGUCACACUGGAACUGAGACACGGUCCAGACUCCUACGGGAGGCAGCAUUGGGGAAUAUUGGACAAUGGGCGAAAGCCUGAUCCAGCCAUGCCGCGUGUGUGAAGAAGGUCUUCGGAUUGUAAAGCACUUUAAGUUGGGAGGAAGGGCUGCUGGUUAAUACCCUGCAGUUUUGACGUUACCAACAGAAUAAGCACCGGCUAACUUCGUGCCAGCAGCCGCGGUAAUACGAAGGGUGCAGGCGUUAAUCGGAAUUACUGGGCGUAAAGCGCGCGUAGGUGGUUUUGUAAGUUGGAGGUGAAAUCCCCGGGCUCAACCUGGGAACUGCCUCCCAAACUGCAUGACUAGAGUACGGUAGAGGGUGGUGGAAUUUCCUGUGUAGCGGUGAAAUGCGUAGAUAUAGGAAGGAACACCAGUGGCGAAGGCGACCACCUGGACUGAUACUGACACUGAGGUGCGAAAGCGUGGGUAUCAAACCCGGAUGAGAUACCCUGGCACUCCACGUUCCAAACGAUGUCAACUAGCCGUUG
rnacentral:rRNA from 1 species